UCAGGUGGUUAUAGCACGAGGGUUCCACCUCUUCCCAUUCCGAACAGAGAAGUUAAGCCUCGUCACGCCGAUGGUACUGCGUAACAGUGGGAGAGUAGGUAGCCGCCGUUUU
rnacentral:rRNA from 1 species